UUGCCUGUAGCUCAGAGGAAAGAGCAACCGCCUUCUAAGCGGUUGGUCGCUGGUUCGAAUCCAGCCGGGCGAACCA
rnacentral:tRNA from 1 species